rnacentral:rRNA from 1 species
CCUACGGGAGGCUGCAGUGAGGAAUAUUGGUCAAUGGACGAGAGUCUGAACCAGCCAAGUAGCAUGAAGGAUGACUGCCCUAUGGGUUGUAAACUUCUUUUAUAUGGGAAUAAAAUGUUCCACGUGUGGGAUUUUGUAUGUACCAUAUGAAUAAGGAUCGGCUAACUCCGUGCCAGCAGCCGCGGUAAUACGGAGGAUCCGAGCGUUAUCCGGAUUUAUUGGGUUUAAAGGGAGCGUAGGUGGAUUGUUAAGUCAGUUGUGAAAGUUUGCGGCUCAACCGUAAAAUUGCAGUUGAAACUGGCAGUCUUGAGUACAGUAGAGGUGGGCGGAAUUCGUGGUGUAGCGGUGAAAUGCUUAGAUAUCACGAAGAACUCCGAUUGCGAAGGCAGUUCACUGGACUGCAACUGACACUGAGGCUCGAAAGUGUGGGUAUCAAACAGGAUUAGAUACCCGAGUAGUC